GAUGCGCCUCAUCUCUUUCAAAAUUCUCUCUCUCUUCAUUAAGUACAAUGUCUUCUUCUCCAUCAGCCGUGUGAAACCCACUCUUUCUCUCAUUUUAAAAAAUCUCUCCCUCGGAAAGGUCGCCUUCGCCUUUGCCUCUUCAUCGUGAUCACCUUACAAUCUGAACUCCUCAGUUUCAUGUGGAGGAACGGCGAGCGCGGGUGGCAAUGAUUUGGUCAUCCUUGGCGUUGAAACAAGCUGUGACGACACUGUGACUACCAUUGUGAGCUCUCUCUCGCUCCUAAGAGCCCUGUCGGUCAUAGCUAUUGGAUCUCGAGCUCUGACUUCGUCAUGAUUGCCUUCUAGUCCUAACUCCAGCUCCUUGAUUUUGUGUGGAGGAAUGACGAGUGCAAAUGGUGAUGAUUUUUCCGUCCUUGGCAUCGAAGCGAGCGGCAACGAUACCAUGGCUACCAUUGUGAGCUCUCUCUUAACAUUGGAUGGCUCAAAAGAGGUAUGGAAGUCUCACCCUUUUGGAGUCGAGGCCCCACUAGAGGAGAUAGGAAUCCCUAGCCUACAGCUGAUAGAAGAUUAAUGUAAAUAAGGAAAUGCCCAUAGAAAAUGGCUUGUAAUCAUACCGAUAUAAUAUAGUAGCAAUAUGAUUUGUAUAGUGUUUUCUUGGC